UAUUUGUUUUCAGUUUACAGUAGGUCUGGUGUCUCGCUGUUCGGAGUGCUGUGGGGAGUGAAUAUGCUGAGUGGGCAGCAGUCCUGGCCCAAAGAUUGUGCAGCCACAACAGAGACUGCAAGAAGAGACCAAGACUACCAAGAUGGGGAAACAAACGUGUGGAAAGGGCUGCUGACACGUGGCUUCAAAUCCUCUGGCAGAGCACAGCUCUCACCCAUCUCUGCCGCAUUCCCUGGGUCUCCCUCCUCCCCUCGCUCCUCCAGGUGAGGCAGGCUCCCUGCAGCCCCUCCCCAGUGCCAAAGCGCCUGUCUGCACAGCUUGCUCUGGGUCCUGCCCCUGUCUGAAAUGAGGGAGAGCCCUGCAGGAUCUCACUCUGCUUUUCUGGGGCAGAGAGGCAGAGCCUGAGGCUGAGCAGGCAGCCUGUGUUUGCUCUGUGCCUGCCAUGAGAGGCCUGGUGAGCGCUGGUGUCGCUGGCAGGGGCAGAACAAUUGGUUGUACUGAUGAAUCCUGGGCCUAUUGGGGGUCACAUAUUAACAAUAAACUGGAAAUGCCAACUAGACCGCGUUCGUUC
rnacentral:lncRNA from 1 species